rnacentral:rRNA from 1 species
AACGAACGCUGGCGGCAUGCCUAACACAUGCAAGUCGAACGAGACUUCGGUCUAGUGGCGGACGGGUGAGUAACGCGUAGGAACCUGCCAAGCAGUGGGGAAUAACAGCUGGAAACGGCUGCUAAUACCGCAUACGCCCUACGGGGGAAAGCCGGGGAUCUUCGGACCUGGCGCUAGUAGAUGAGCCCGCGUGAGAUUAGCUUGUUGGUGGGGUAAUGGCCUACCAAGGCAACGAUCUCUAGCUGGUCUGAGAGGACGAUCAGCCACACUGGGACUGAGACACGGCCCAGACUCCUACGGGAGGCAGCAGUGGGGAAUAUUGGACAAUGGGCGAAAGCCUGAUCCAGCAAUGCCGCGUGUGUGAAGAAGGCCUGAGGGUUGUAAAGCACUUUCAAUCGUGAAGAAAGUUGCAGGCUAAUACCCUGUGACCUUGACGUUAACGAUACAAGAAGCACCGGCUAACUCCGCGCCAGCAGCCGCGGUAAAGUG